rnacentral:rRNA from 1 species
GCCGAACGCUGGCGGCGUGCCUAAUACAUGCAAGUCGAACGCAGUGGGGACGGGUGAGUAACACGUGGGUAACCUCCCAUCAGAGGGGAUAACACUUGGUAACAGGUGCUAAACCGAUACUGAUGGAUGGACCAGCGGUGCAUUAGCUAGUUGGUGAGGUAACGGCUCACCAAGUCAGCGACGCAUAGCCGACAUGAGAGGGUGAUCUGCAAGAGGGUAACUGAGACAAGGCCCGGACGCAUACGGAAGGCAGGAGUAGGGAAUCUUCGGCAAUGGACGAAAGUCUGACCGAGCGACGCGGCGUGAGUGAAGAAGGUUUUCGGAGCGUAAAACUCUGUUGUUAGAGAAGCGGUAUCUAACCAGAAAGCCACGGCUAACUACGUGCCAGCAGCCGCGGUAAUAC